rnacentral:rRNA from 1 species
AGAGUUUGAUCCUGGCUCAGGAUGAACGCUAGCUACAGGCUUAACACAUGCAAGUCGAGGGGCAGCAUGACGAUAGCUUGCUAUUGUUGAUGGCGACCGGCGCACGGGUGAGUAACGCGUAUCCAACCUGCCCAUCACUUGGGGAUAACCUUGCGAAAGUAAGACUAAUACCCAAUGACGUCUCUAGAAGACAUCUGAAGGAGAUUAAAGAUUUAUCGGUGAUGGAUGGGGAUGCGUCUGAUUAGCUUGUUGGCGGGGUAACGGCCCACCAAGGCGACGAUCAGUAGGGGUUCUGAGAGGAAGGUCCCCCACAUUGGAACUGAGACACGGUCCAAACUCCUACGGGAGGCAGCAGUGAGGAAUAUUGGUCAAUGGGCGAGAGCCUGAACCAGCCAAGUAGCGUGCAGGAAGACGGCCCUAUGGGUUGUAAACUGCUUUUAUAAGGGAAUAAAGUGGGAGUCGUGACUCCUUUUGCAUGUACCUUAUGAAUAAGGACCGGCUAAUUCCGUGCCAGCAGCCGCGGUAAUACGGAAGGUCCGGGCGUUAUCCGGAUUUAUUGGGUUUAAAGGGAGCGUAGGCCGGAGAUUAAGCGUGUUGUGAAAUGUAGAUGCUCAACAUCUGCACUGCAGCGCGAACUGGUUUCCUUGAGUACGCACAAAGUGGGCGGAAUUCGUGGUGUAGCGGUGAAAUGCUUAGAUAUCACGAAGAACUCCGAUUGCGAAGGCAGCUCACUGGAGCGCAACUGACGCUGAAGCUCGAAAGUGCGGGUAUCGAACAGGAUUAGAUACCCUGGUAGUCCGCACGGUAAACGAUGGAUGCCCGCUGUUGGUCUGAAUAGGUCAGCGGCCAAGCGAAAGCAUUAAGCAUCCCACCUGGGGAGUACGCCGGCAA